CAACUUUGAGCGGUGGAUCACUCGGCUCGUGUGUCGAUGAAGAGUGCAGCCAACUGUGUGAAUUAAUGUGAACUGCAUACUGCUUUGAACAUCGACAUCUUGAACGCACAUUGCGGCUACGGGAUAUCCUGUGGCCACGUCUGUCCGAGGGUCGG
rnacentral:rRNA from 1 species